rnacentral:rRNA from 1 species
UACGGAGGGGACUAGCGUUGUUCGGAAUUACUGGGCGUAAAGCGCACGUAGGCGGAUUUGUAAGUCAGGGGUGAAAUCCCGGGGCUCAACCUCGGAACUGCCUUUGAUACUGCAAAUCUCGAGUCCGGAAGAGGUGAGUGGAAUUCCUAGUGUAGAGGUGAAAUUCGUAGAUAUCCAGAGGAACACCAGUGGCGAAGGCGGCUCACUGGCCCGGUACUGACGCUGAGGUGCGAAAGCGUGGGGAGCAAACAGG